rnacentral:rRNA from 1 species
GCCAACCACAGAAAAGCCAUCUCAGUUCGGAUUGUAGUCUGCAACCCGACUACAUGAAGCUGGAAUCGCUAGUAAUCGCAGAUCAGAAUGCUGCGGUGAAUACGUUCCCGGGCCUUGUACACACCGCCCGUCACACCAUGGGAGUCGGUAACACCCGAAGCCAGUAGCCUAACCGCAAGGGGGGCGCUGUCGAAGGUGGGAUUGAUGACUGGGGUGAAGUCGUAACAAGGUAUC